rnacentral:rRNA from 1 species
UAGGGAAUCUUCGGCAAUGGGGGGAACCCUGACCGAGCAACGCCGCGUGAGUGAAGAAGGUUUUCGGAUCGUAAAGCUCUGUUGUUAAGGAAGAACGAGUGUGAGAAUGGAAAGUUCAUACUGUGACGGUACUUAACCAGAAAGGGACGGCUAACUACGUGCCAGCAGCCGCGGUAAUACGUAGGUCCCGAGCGUUGUCCGGAUUUAUUGGGCGUAAAGCGAGCGCAGGCGGUUAGAAAAGUCUGAAGUGAAAGGCAGUGGCUCAACCAUUGUAGGCUUUGGAAACUGUUUAACUUGAGUGCAAGAGGGGAGAGUGGAAUUCCAUGUGUAGCGGUGAAAUGCGUAGAUAUAUGGAGGAACACCGGUGGCGAAAGCGGCUCUCUGGCUUGUAACUGACGCUGAGGCUCGAAAGCGUGGGGAGCAAACAGGAUUAGAUACCCUGGUAGUCCACGCCGUAAACGAUGAGUGCUAGGUGUUAGACCCUUUCCGGGGUUUAGUGCCGCAGCUAACGCAUUAAGCACUCCGCCUGGGGAGUACGACCGCAAGGUUG